GGGGGCGAAACGGUUUCGACCGGACGUCGGAACGUGGAGUGGCAGGCGGAGGUUGCUCGGAGGCCUCCUUAAAAACCGGGUAAAUUUUUGACUGCGAACAACAACUUCGCAAUGGCUGCCUAGUAAUCUAAGCGCCCCUUCCCCCGUCGUUUGCCUGGUACGGCGGACGGAAGGCUAUACUUCCAGGCUGGCCGAAGGAGACCCUGCCGGUGAUCUCCAAGGCGAGAUUGAACCGGCGCUCGUGCUCUGGAUCCUGUCCGUUGGAGCCGAUCACGAGGCAAUAAUAGACGGACUAUGCCUGUAGAAGCUUCAUGGGAAGUGUUUCGGGACCCGGGUUCGACUCCCGGCGCCUCCACUU
rnacentral:tmRNA from 1 species